UACGGAGGGGGCUAGCGUUGUUCGGAAUUACUGGGCGUAAAGCGCGCGUAGGCGGACCUGCAAGUCGGGGGUGAAAGCCCGAGGCUCAACCUCGGAACUGCCUUCGAUACUGCGGGUCUCGAGUCCGGGAGAGGUGAGUGGAAUUCCUAGUGUAGAGGUGAAAUUCGUAGAUAUUCGGAAGAACACCAGUGGCGAAGGCGACACACUGGCCCAUUACUGACGCUGAGGCUCGAAAGCGUGGGGAGCAAACAGG
rnacentral:rRNA from 1 species